GCCUUCUUAGUUUAGAGGUAGAGCGUUGCACUUGUACGUCUUUCGAUGCCAAGGUCAGUCGUUCAAUCCGGCUAGGAGGCA